rnacentral:rRNA from 1 species
UUUUAAAAACAUCUCUUUUUUCGAAAUAAAAAGUAGACUCUGCUCAGUGAACAAACAUAUAUAAAUAGCCGCAGUAUUUUAACUGUGCUAAGGUAGCAUAAUAAUUUGUCCUAUAACAGAGGACUGGAAUGAAAGAGUUGUCAUUACUUCAGCUUUUUUGGUUUUAAAAAUAGAAAUUAAUAUCUGCCUCAAAAAGUGCAGCUUCUUAGAAAGACGAUAAGACCCUAUAAAACUUUACAUUAAAAUAAUACUUAAAUUUUACUAUUUUGACACUAAUCUUUAAUAAUCUUAAUUAAGCUGGGGCGGCAUCUUAAACACACAAGAAAAUUUAACAUUUAUUUUUGAAAUAAAAGAUCUUUAAUUUAAAAACUUAAAUCAGUUACUUUAGGGAUAACAGCACAAUUUUUUUUUAUAGGCCUUAUAGAAAAAAAAGACUUGUGACCUCGAUGUUGAAUUGAAGAGCCUGAUUUAAGCAAAAAUAAAUUUAGGGGGUCUGUUCGACCUUUAAACCUUCACGUGAUCU